GUGAUUUUGAUGAAGUUGAGUGGAAAAGUAGGUGUGAGCUUACCAAAGAUUCCUGAGGUGGUGGUGAAGACAUCAAGACCCACAUAGAUCUAGGUUGAAGACAUGAAGAUCGUGUAGAGGGGAAACAGGGGUUAAUGACGAAUGUAGUUAGUUAAGAUUUGUUAAUUUGGAACAUAAAAAUACCAAGGCCAUACUAAAUUGAAGUAUUUUUUAAUGUAUACCACAAUCUAUUAUAUAGAAACAAAAGCCAAAUAUAGUUACAUAACUGUGGGAUAGAGCUUUUUAGUAGUACACGGUGUAUAGACACGUGGAAUUUUUUAAAAAAAAUAUUUUUUCCUAUCCCUGAUGAAUGGAUUUUUUUUUAAGAAAACAAGCAAACGAUUAUCAUUGUAAUAUUCCCUUGUUUUUUCUAAUUCUCACUUGUAGCCAUACUUAUUUCUACACACCUUAUUACAGCUUUUCACUUGAAGAUGCUCUAAAUAUGUGGUCGAUGAGGCCACUAUGGAGAACAAUUCUUUGUUCAAAGAGGAUGUAGAUAUUCUCCUAAAGUGAAAAGGAAGAUCCUAAUAUUCCCCUAAAAGGCCUUGAUAGCAUGUUUUCGUUUUCUUGAGCUACUUUUCUUUUAUGCCUCCACGUAUGCGAACAAAUCUUGCCACUGAAAUUAUAUGGCACACUAGACAUCUAUGCUUAUGUUCUUUACGUACUCCCUCCG
rnacentral:lncRNA from 1 species